rnacentral:rRNA from 1 species
GCCUGACAGCCAUGCCGCGUGCAGGAUGACGGUCCUAUGGAUUGUAAACUGCUUUUGCACAGGAAGAAACAACAUUACGUGUAAUGUCUUGACGGUACUGUGAGAAUAAGGAUCGGCUAACUCCGUGCCAGCAGCCGCGGUAAUACGGAGGAUCCAAGCGUUAUCCGGAAUCAUUGGGUUUAAAGGGUCCGUAGGCGGUUUGGUAAGUCAGUGGUGAAAGCCCAUCGCUCAACGGUGGAACGGCCAUUGAUACUGCCAGACUUGAAUUAUUAGGAAGCAACUAGAAUAUGUAGUGUAGCGGUGAAAUGCUUAGAGAUUACAUGGAAUACCAAUUGCGAAGGCAGGUUGCUACUAAUGGAUUGACGCUGAUGGACGAAAGCGUGGGUAGCGAACAGGAUUAGAUACCCUGGUAGUCCACGCCGUAAACGAUGGAUACUAGCUGUUGGGAGCAAUCUCAGUGGCUAAGCGAAAGUGAUAAGUAUCCCACCUGGGGAGUACGUUCGCAAGAAUGAAACUCAAGGAUUUGACGGAGUUUGAGGGAUUAUGUUUUUUAUUUUGUCUUAAUCUCUACCUUGAACGAUGCCGAUUAGGGAUUCCGAGAAGUUUCCUGGAUGACUCCCCGGGCACCUUGCGAGAAAAUCAUAAGUCGUUGGGUUCUGGGGGGGAGUAUGUGUCGCAAGGCUUAAAACUUCAAAGG